CGCACAUUGCGCCCUUUGGUAUUCCGAAGGGCAUGCCCGUUCGAGCGUCAUUUCACCAAUCAAGCCUGGCUUGGUGUUGGGCCACGGGGAGACCCGGGCCCCAAAGUUCGCCGGCCGGUCGUCUCGGAUCUCAGCGUUGUGGCAUCAAAACCCGCAGGGAGAUGGGGCGGACGCGCCGUGACAAAAGCACUUUUAUAAAAGGUUGACCUCGGAUCGGGUAGGGAUACCCGCUGAACUUAA
rnacentral:misc_RNA from 1 species